rnacentral:rRNA from 1 species
GACGAACGCUGGCGGCGUGCUUAACACAUGCAAGUCGAACGGAAAGGCCCUGCUUUUGUGGGGUGCUCGAGUGGCGAACGGGUGAGUAACACGUGAGUAACCUGCCCUUGACUUUGGGAUAACUUCAGGAAACUGGGGCUAAUACCGGAUAGGAGCUCCUGAUGCAUGGUGGUGGUUGGAAAGUUUCGGCGGUUGGGGAUGGACUCGCGGCUUAUCAGCUUGUUGGUGGGGUAGUGGCUUACCAAGGCUUUGACGGGUAGCCGGCCUGAGAGGGUGACCGGCCACAUUGGGACUGAGAUACGGCCCAGACUCCUACGGGAGGCAGCAGUGGAGAAUAUUGCACAAUGGGCGGAAGCCUGAUGCAGCAACGCCGCGUGCGGGAUGACGGCCUUCGGGUUGUAAACCGCUUUCGCCUGUGACGAAGCGUGAGUGACGGUAAUGGGUAAAGAAGCACCGGCUAACUACGUG